rnacentral:rRNA from 1 species
GACGAACGCUGGCGGCGUGCUUAACACAUGCAAGUCGAACGGAAAGGCCCUGCUUUUGUGGGGUGCUCGAGUGGCGAACGGGUGAGUAACACGUGAGUAACCUGCCCUUGACUUUGGGAUAACUUCAGGAAACUGGGGCUAAUACCGGAUAGGAGCUCCUGCUGCAUGGUGGGGGUUGGAAAGUUUCGGCGGUUGGGGAUGGACACGCGGCUUAUCAGCUUGUUGGUGGGGUAGUGGCUUACAAAGGCUUUGGCGGGUAGCCGGCCUGAGAGGGUGACCGGCCACAUUGGGACUGGGAUACGCGCCAGAUUCCUACGUGAAGCAGCAGUGGGGAAAAUUGCACAAUGGUCAGAAGCCUGAUGCAGCAACGCCGCGUGCGGAAUGACAGCAUUCGGUUUAUAAACCGCUUUAGCCUGUGACGAAGCGUGAGUGACGGUAAUGGAUAAAGAAGCACCGGCUAACUACGUG